GAUCAUGGCUCAGGACGAACGCUGGCGGCGUGCCUAACACAUGCAAGUCGAACGGGACUCAGCCCUUCGGGACUGAGUUUAGUGGCGAACGGGUGAGUAACGCGUGAGGAACCUGCCUUUCAGUGGGGGACAACAGUUGGAAACGACUGCUAAUACCGCAUAAUGCUUUUUGAUGGCAUCAUUGAAAAGCCAAAGAUUUAUUGCUGAAAGAUGGCCUCGCGUCUGAUUAGCUAGUUGGUGGGGUAACGGCCCACCAAGGCGACGAUCAGUAGCCGGUCUGAGAGGAUGAACGGCCACAUUGGGACUGAGAUACGGCCCAGACUCCUACGGGAGGCAGCAGUGGGGAAUAUUGGGCAAUGGGGGAAACCCUGACCCAGCAACGCCGCGUGAAGGAAGAAGGCCUUCGGGUUGUAAACUUCUUUUACCAGGGACGAAAAAAGUGACGGUACCUGGAGAAAAAGCAACGGCUAACUACGUG
rnacentral:rRNA from 1 species